rnacentral:rRNA from 1 species
CACGCCGUAAACGAUGAGUGCUAGGUGUUGGAGGGGCCACCCUUCAGUGCUGACGUUAACACAUUAAGCACUCCGCCUGGGGAGUACGGCCGCAAGGCUGAAACUCAAAGGAAUUGACGGGGGCCUGCACAAGCAGUGGAGCAUGUGGUUUAAUUCGAAGCAACGCGAAGAACCUUACCAGGUCUUGACAUCCUCUGACAACCCUAGAGAUAGGGCUUUCCCCUUCGGGGGACAGAGUGACAGGUGGUGCAUG